rnacentral:rRNA from 1 species
GAGUUUGAUCCUGGCUCAGAAUGAACGCUGGCGGCGUGCUUAACACAUGCAAGUCGAACGAGAAAGUGGACUUCGGUCCGCGAGUAGAGUGGCGCACGGGUGAGUAAUACGUAGGUAAUCUACCCUUGAAUUUGGGAUAACAUCGCGAAAGUGGUGCUAAUACCGGAUAAUAUCCAUAGGGCUUCGGUUUUAUGGAUCAAAGAUAGCCUCUUCUUGAAAGCUAUUGUUUGAGGAUGAGCCUACGCACCAUUAGCUAGUUGGUAGGGUAAAGGCCUACCAAGGCUACGAUGGUUAGCUGGUCUGAGAGGAUGAUCAGCCACACUGGAACUGACACACGGUCCAGACUCCUACGGGAGGCAGCAGUGAGGAAUUUUGCGCAAUGGGGGAAACCCUGACGCAGCAACGCCGCGUGAGUGAUGAAGGCUUUUGGGUCGUAAAGCUCUGUCAGUAGGGAAGAAGUCGAUUAUAGUUAAUACCUAUAGUCGUUGACGGUACCUACAAAGGAAGCACCGGCUAACUCCGUGCCAGCAGCCGCGGUAAUACGGGGGGUGCAAGCGUUAUUCGGAAUUAUUGGGCGUAAAGCGAGUGCAGGCGGUAUUAUAAGUCAGAUGUGAAAGCCCGGGGCUCAACCCCGGAAGUGCAUUUGAAACUGUAAUACUUGAGUAUGGGAGAGGAAAGUGGAAUUCCUGGUGUAGAGGUGAAAUUCGUAGAUAUCAGGAGGAACACCAGUGGCGAAGGCGACUUUCUGGACCAAUACUGACGCUCAGACUCGAAGGCGUGGGGAGCGAACAGGAUUAGAUACCCUGGUAGUCCACGCAGUAAACGUUGACAACUAGGUGUCGCGGGUAUUGACCCCUGCGGUGCCGGAGCUAACGCAUUAAGUUGUCCGCCUGGGGAGUACGAUCGCAAGAUUAAAACUCAAAGGAAUUGACGGGGGCCCGCACAAGCGGUGGAGCAUGUGGUUUAAUUCGACGCAACGCGAAGAACCUUACCUGGAUUUGACAUCCUGGGAAUCUUUUUGAAAGAUUUGAGUGCCCUUCGGGGAACCCAGUGACAGGUGCUGCAUGGCUGUCGUCAGCUCGUGUCGUGAGAUGUUCGGUUAAGUCCGGCAACGAGCGCAACCCCUAUCUUUAGUUACCAUCAUUUUUAGUUGGGAACUCUGAAGAUACUGCCCCGGUUAACGGGGAGGAAGGUGGGGAUGACGUCAAGUCCUCAUGGCCCUUAUGUCCAGGGCUACACACGUGCUACAAUGGUAUGUACAGAGGGUAGCGAACUCGCGAGAGUAAGCCAAUCCCUUAAAGCAUAUCUCAGUUCGGAUUGGAGUCUGCAACUCGACUCCAUGAAGUUGGAAUCGCUAGUAAUCGCGGAUCAGCAUGCCGCGGUGAAUACGUUCCCGGGCCUUGUACACACCGCCCGUCACACCACGAGAGUUGAUUGUACCAGAAGUUGUUGGGCUAACCCUUCGGGGAGGCAGGCACCUAAGGUAUGGUCGAUAAUUAGGGUGAAGUCGUAACAAGGUAACCGUUGGGGAACCAGCGGUUGGAUCACCUCCUUU